CCAUCAUCUGGAUUGACUACAUUUGAGUCUGUGGAUGGUACAAACGGAGUUUGAAUGUCUCAUCAAAUUCCAAAAGCUAACGAAUAUGAUGACUUUUUUUGUUUUUUUGGUUACUUUGUUGAUGAUUUUCUAUAAUUUUUAUCUCCUACCUCAAUAACUACAAGACCACACCUUUGACUUUUAGCGAUAUCAAUUACGUUCUCUGACAAAACAAUUCAAUAAACGUAACAAAACCCAAAUCCUCCGGCUACUCCUCGGAUAACCAUUACACUCAGUUCCCAGACCGUCGCCGUCAAUUGCCACCUGAAACUUCCAAUUCCUCCCCCUCCACAACCGCCGAAAAAUAUCAGCCAAUCUCCCUUGGCCCCUAUUUAGCGCUCAUGGGUGAACAAACCCAAAUACAAGCAAAACCCGAAACCCAAACUCCACCCCAAUCUCUACCCGAUUCCGAUUCCACCCUUGUAUCCAACUCUCCCGUUGAUCUUCCCCCAAACCCCUCUAACCCUUCCAAAAUCCCAAUUCGACCCCAGAAAAUCCGAAAACUCUCUUCCACCCCCUCCUCAAAAACCCCACAAACGACCACAUCCUCCGCGACGCCAGCAUCCACCAAGAGUCGCCGAAAGAGCGCACCGAAAUCAUCAUCUAGGGUUUUGCCCCAAAUCAUCAAACCCUUAUCAGCUAACGGCGAAAUCGACAAUGCACUCUUACACCUCCGUUCAGCCGACCCGCUUCUCGGUUCCUUAAUAGACACACUUCCGGUCCCUCAAUUUGAAUCACACCAUUCUCCGUUUUUAGCCUUAAGCAAGAGCAUUCUGUACCAGCAACUAGCUUAUAAAGCAGGCACCUCAAUUUACACGCGCUUCGUGUCCCUUUGUGGCGGAGAGGAUGCCGUUUGCCCUGACGUCGUCCUCUCCCUAUCCGCUCAACAGCUCAAGCAGAUAGGUGUCUCGGGGAGAAAGGCUAGUUAUUUAUAUGACUUAGCUAAUAAGUAUAAAAAUGGGAUUUUGUGUGAUGAUGCGCUUGUAAAGAUGGAUGAUAAGUCAUUGUUUACCAUGCUUUCGAUGGUGAAGGGUAUUGGUUCUUGGUCAGUGCAUAUGUUCAUGAUUUUUUCACUGCAUAGGCCGGAUGUUUUGCCUGUUAGUGAUUUGGGGGUCAGGAAAGGUGUGCAGUUGUUAUACGGAUUAGAGGAAUUACCUAGGCCGUCGCAGAUGGAGCACUUGUGCGAGAAAUGGAGACCAUAUAGGUCAGCUGGGGCGUGGUAUAUGUGGAGGUUUGUGGAGGGGAAAGGGACUCCAACUACUGCUGCAGCUGCAAUUGAUGCUGGUAAUGUGCAGCCGUUGCAGCAAAUUCAGACAGGACAGGAGACACAGCAGCAUCAGUUGCAGCUUCUCGAGCCUAUAAAUGGCAUUGGGAAUCUUGGUCUAUUAAUUGCUCAUGAGAUAAUCUGCAAAUGGCUUGCACUGUGUUUUACAUUCACUGCGCCGUUAGACAACAACCUGCAUACAUAUUUUGAAAAUCUUUGUGAAAGAAAAGGGGGCUGGAUUAGAGCUGAAGUAAUAUAGUCGAUUAAUGUAUCAUGCCCAAUUGGUGUGAGAAUGAGGUGUGGUUGAUUGAUUGGAGUUUCCACCUUGUGCUUUAUUGACUUGGGCUUGCAUUUGGAGCCAAUGACCGAAAUCGUUCAGAUGUCAGACUAUUCGCUGAGGCUGGAAUGUGUAUGCAAAUAAAGAAUCAGUUUCCUAAGAUGCUGUGCACCAAAAUUCUGUAGCUAGUGUUAGUAUUGAGCUAAGCUAGGUGCUGUAAAGGGAUGUGCUAUAUGGAAGAGCCUCGUUUGUUUGAUUGAUGUGAGGGACUGCACUUUCUUCGUAUAGAGGUAAUACAAUGCUCACUAUUUCUACACCCCCCCCCCCCCCCCUUCUCUUCCUUAAUUCUCUUGUCCCAUUUAAAUGUAAAAUCACGAGAAUAAACGGCUUCCAACUGCAUUGUGAUUUUUAGCAACGAGGUAUAAUAUAAAUAAACUUUACUAUGAUAGAGAUACA